CCCCCGCCCCCAGCCAGGAAGGCCCAUGCCUGAGGUGGAGCCAGUUUCUGACCAAUCUCUUAUGAAGCCUGGAAACCAGAAGAGGUUUCUGAUGCCCUCAGCGUGCGGGAGUUGUGGUCAGCAGCUGGAGUGACGUGGCGACAAAUGGAAAGCACCUGUCCCCUGGAGGGGGGGAGGGGGGGCACCUCCAGCUCACUCUGCAGCAGGAGAAGGGUGGGCUUCUCUGUUUCAGACAAAACCUAUCUAUGGCCUUGAGGCUCUGGAUCCAGCCUCUGUGGCUGCCCUCCGGCUGAGCUGCCCCACGGAAGGAUUUUUCUGGAAAGGGACAGCCAGGUGCACACUUGGGGAGGCUCUGAGAUCUCCGCCAUCCCUGUUUUCUGCCCCCUAGGUGUGGGGAUGGAGCCACUGACCGCCAGCUGUCACAACAGCGUGUGCGGUUGUUUUUUUGGUGUGUCCCUGGCCCUCCCCGCUCAUCUGCCACUGCACGGAUGGUGCCUGACUCCUCUCCCCCGCUCCUCCCUCCAUCCAGGCCCACACCGCGUUCCAGAACAAUCCCCCACCGUGCGUCUGUGGAAGGGGCCGGUCUCCCCGUUGCUUUUCCAGUGAGCCUUUUCUUCCCCUGAAGCACAUCCAAGAGCGCCGCACCGACUGCCCUCUGGGUUGCCAUGGAAACGAAGCAUUCUUCCCACUUCCCUCUUCUGUUUACCUUGGUCAGGGACUGCGGCAAAAACCAGCCAGUCGCUGAAGGGGAGGGCGGGCGGCUGGGGGAGAGGGAGGGAGGAGGGGAAGGCAGCCGCUCUAAACCAGAUCAUUCCGGUUCGGAGCGGUUCCCCGCUCUACCCCCGAGAGGCUCUCCAACUAGGCGUGGGCCGCGGACGGCGGCUCCGCGCCCUGAGAUUAGUGGAGAGGGGUCUGGAGGCUACUCCGCACCCCCCGCCCCGGGCUCCACGUCCGCCUGCGCUCUGCCUGCCCGGGCUUCCUCCCCCGCCGGUGCGGGGUGUUGGCGGAGCCUUUGUCGUGCGGCCCGGGCUCGCCGGCCUCUGCUCGGCGGUGGUCGGUCGGUCACGACACCAGGGCGCCCGGCGGAGGGUGGGGGAGCGAUGGGAGCCGACGUCCAGCCCCGCUCUGUGACCUGGCCCAAAGCACCCUCACCCUGCCCGCACCGCUGCCGUGGCCUCCCAACCGAGGGCCCCGCUUCCUCUGGCACCCUCCCUCGGCAGCGGGGGGGAUCGGUUCGUCCUCUCUCUGCCUUCCAGCUUCCAGUUGAUCUUAGAGUGAAAACCAGACGCUUUGCCCGGCUCUUCCAUCAUCUGCCCAGCCUGCCUCUCCUUGCUUCCCUGGCCUCCCCUCCCGGGUUCCCGUCCUCCCGCUACGCGGCUUCUUCCCCUUCCAGAAGACGCCAGGGGCCGGGUUUUUGUCUUUGGAAUGCUCUGGCCCCUUGAUGUAGUGGCAUUCUCCCUCAUGUGCUUUCUAGCUCCUGGCGCGCAGUCAUUGAUUGCAUCCUCGGGAGGCUCUCCCUAACUUGUCCGUGUCCGGCCGCUCGUGCUUCUUCACAGCAGCUGUCUCCCCGCUCCCCGCCUCCCAUGGAAGCUCCCUGAAGGCAGGCGUGCUCCCCGCCGCCUGGCCCGGCCGGCUCCCGGCCCCGCGCGGGUGCGUACUAGGUGCUCAGUUAGUGAGCGGUCCGGGCGGGCGCGCGCCGGCGCCGACCCCGGCCUGCGCACCGCGCGCUCCCGCCUUCGGGCCGGGGGUCGGGCGCCCCCUCCCGGCUGAGCUCCGCCGGCUGCCGCUGCCCGCCAGGGGGAGGCAGAGAAGCCCCGGGACGCGAGGUCGCGGGCCCGAGGCCGGCGCGCCGCAGGGAGAGAAACCGGCUGCGGGCCUCGCUCGUGCGGGGGAGGCGGCGGCGGCCAGGCCGCCCUCGCCGCCAGCCCGGGGCUCCAGGGCCCCGGAGGGCGACCGUUCUGGGGCGGGGGAUUGCAGGCAAGGCCACCCCUUCUCCGGGCUUUGCGGAUCUGGGUAACUCUCUCUGCAGGCACGUCACUGCGCUUGGCUUGCCACCAAGUGGGGGUCAGCCCUCCAGGCUUAACAUUCCAGUACCGCUUUGGUGGGGAGAAACGAAGCAGGGAAAGGCGCGGCUGGCGCUUCAAGGAGGCACAGGCUGGGUGGGCUCCGAGGUGGUGAGGUUGGCGGUGGGGGGAGCAGGGCUGGAGUUCCAGUCCUGGACGCCGCCGGUGCACCCCUAGGUACAUGUCACUCCCCGCAACGGCCGAGUUACCGUUCUUACGGAUCACCUCUCUGUGGGUGGCAAGUGGGCCUCUUCCUUUGGGGGGGGGGGAGGGGGCAAGGGCAGUUGCCAGCAUCCUGAGCCACGAUCUGAUCUUGGCUGUUGCAGUGCACGCUCUCUACCUUUUCCCCCAGGAUGAGGCUCAGGGAGUAAAUGAGACCCCAGAUGCCUGGCGGAGGCCGGAGCAACUGCCAUGGGCACAGCCACCCUACAGCUCCAGGCCAGGUGCGGGCUCCUGAAAUAGCAAGAGGCCGGAGCUCCCAGCUGUCUCUGUCCUUCUCUCCUUCGCAGCCCUGGGCUGGGCUGGGCUGGGCUGGGCUGGUCACUGCCCGGUCUGCCUGAGCUGAGCUCCGCGCCUUCCUUCCUAGGAGAGCUGCGGAGGCCCUCCUGUUAGGCGGACCAUUGGAAAGGUCACUCGUGUGUUUGAGGAUUUGAGAAAAGUGUCUCCCUCUUCCACCGGAGACUUCGAGGCCAGACCCCAAGGCCUGUGCAGGAUGGGUGGGUUUGCCGGGUCUGCUUUGUGUAUCGCUCAGAAGCCUUCCACCUCCCCUCCCCUCACUGUGGAGUGGAUGACAGAAAAACCCUCUAAAAUAAUGUCUUAUCUUGCUUGAUUUUAUGAAGGGACAGGAUGGUGAGGAAUGGUCUUCGGGCAACAAUUAAAUCUUGAGACUUUUUUUUUUUUUCUUUCCCUCUCCUGGAUUUUUUUUUUUCUCCUACCAGCUUCCAAGAUUGGCUUUUAAAUCGAAGAUUUCCAAAUACCAGUCAGGCUACCUCUUAAUCAAUGAAGAACUUAAAAAUACUAAUACUCCAGCCCUGCCCUUUGAAUCACCCAAUUUUUUACAGCCUGAUUUGGUCAGAACGGACCCAGAUUCACAGUAUCCUGAAAAAGGGCUAAAUCGAAAGAGUCAUGAAGGGUUCUGGUUUAUAAAGGAGAGAAAAGGGGGAAAAAACCGAACAAAAACCGUGAACAUACUUAAAAAAGCCAGCAGUCCCUGCUGUGGCCCUCUACAUCUCCCGGGCCACCUUACCACUGUUAGCUCUUUUGGCUGUUUUUGUUUGUGUUUUCUGAUACCUUCCUUUAUGCCUCUAGUCAAUAUGCUUUCCUGGUUAGUGCUUAAUUUGAGACAUUCUGUAUAUUACCUUCCGCCAUGGAACAUGAGGAUUUAGCUCUCACCUAUGUCACCCCACUUCCCUUGUCUCGUCCUCUUACUUUCUUUAUUGGUUAAUUUUGUAACUUUUAGUAAAUACUUCGUCUUCAUUUUCCUGUACCAUCAACUAUAGAGAGCGAGAACGGUAAAUACCCCAGGCAUGCUUCAAAGCACCUCACACAUUAUUGCAGCCACACAGUAACCAGGACUGAGCCGAGAGCCAAGAGCUAACCAAGCCUUGGUUCUCCAGCUCUCCAGGCCAUCUCCUUCCAGCACUGUACUGAGGUAGCCGCUAGCUCCGCAUAACAGCUUAUACUUACAGAAGUGAAAAUUAAAUGGAAUGAAAAUUGUAGUUCUUCGGUCACACUAACCACAUCUGAAGUGCUGAAUAGCCAGUGGCUACCACAUACUGGACAGCGCAAAUAUGGAACAUUUCCAUCACCGCAGGAAACCAUUGGUUUUGCGCUGGUCUGGAAGCUGGGCCUUUUAUCUGAAGGUAAGUAUGGAAACUGGAUGGUUUUACCAGUGUCGUCUCCCAUCAAGCAAUUACUACCAAAGAUUAACUGCAAGAGAAUUGUGGUCCUACUGUUCAGUUAUAAGAGCUUCGUAACAGCAUUCUGACAAACUAGAAUCUUUCACGUGUAACUGGAAGAACAAAACCACCCAAACCAACUAAGCCACUGAAACCUCUUCCCACCCAAGCUAAGACGGGGCUUAACUAAGAACCGAAUUAGAUACCAACAAGAGUUCAUUUCAAAGCUCUGGCUGGUCUAAAGUCUAAAAGGCACAGGGUCCACUUCUUGCCCCUGAUGGGCCUCACGGGAGUAUACUUCAGAAGACGUAGGAGAAAUAAAGCAAAGGAAACGAGAAUGCUCUGCGUAAUGAAUGUGCUCUGCGUAUAAACUGUAACGUGGGCUGGGAAGCCCUAUAAAUUAGGGGGUAGAAAUUGUUAUGUUUUCCUCUGGUCAAUUAAUGGCAGAAUAUCGAAGAUUACUUGUCCCAGGAAGGUAUAUUUGAUCCAACAGUUUGUCGAUGAAAACUAAGAGGCAUAUGUGCGAUUCUGGACGAGAGACCUUAAAAGUGACCAGACUUGGGAGUGUCCACACCUACACCGGACUUCAGAGCCUGAAGAAAAAGCACUGCUGGGAGAGGGAUCCUAGCAGAGGGUGAAGCGAUACAAAGCAGAGGUUUUGGAGAAAGAAGCGUCUGGAAGACCGAGGCAAGAACCAGGAACUGUGGUUUCAUCCCCAAAGGACCCCCUGGGAAGGGCUCAGCUCCUCCUGGGGUUUUUUCCUUGACUCAGAGACAGUUGUGACUCUGUAUGUAAAGAUUCACAUCUUCCCUUUGAAUUCCCUGUAGCUCCUCCAACUCUUCAGAAAAGCCUUGAGACAUCCGUACAGACUUGGCUAGUGGGAGUUUGGGGAAUAUACAGAACGGGACAGGAAAAGGGAGUGUGGUCUGCCCCACAGUCACUCGCUCCCUUGCUGGUGUCCUGAGGGGAAGAGCGUUCUGUUGAGGGGACGGUUGUAGGUCCAGGAGUCCCAGAUGGUGAGCAGAGAGAGGGACGCACAGCAGGCGGCGGUGGAAGGCAGAUGACUCACAGAUAUUAAUUACAGAGAAAAGUGCACCCUGGUGGGUGGGAAAGGGGUGGUGGAGGCGGGCAGACGGAUGCUUACGUCAUAGAGGUGAGCUCGCAUACACGCAAAUCACCGUCCCACAAUCAAGGCAGCCUUGAGCCAAAUAGAUUUGGAUAAGAUUUAUUGAUCAGAUUGUUUUAGAAAACCAACAGCAAAACACUGACAAGGUACAUAAAUACAGAUUGGACAUUUUAGGGUAAAUUCACUAUUUUUCCUACGUGCUCGUAGGAGACCAAAUAAGGUGGAAAAGCUGUCCUGAUCAUAUGGCAUGCACACCAGACUGCAAAAGGACUUCCACACUAUUUAACAGGACUGUGGCAAAUAGCUUUACAGUAAGGCAAGCAUCGUGUGUGGCCUAAGCACACCCUGUACAAAGAGCCAAGCCCAGGCCUGCCCUCAGAGACUGCGUGAGAGGUUCCCCUUUCUUGCCUAGGUUCUUCCAGUCAAAUCCUCAUCGGCAGGUGCCUUUACAGGGAAAUGCCUGGCGCUGUCCCUGCUCAGACUCUGUGUACAAGGAAGCGGCUUCAGAGAAAGUCAGUGUGUUUCUGAUGCCUCCUUUGUAUUCUAAAUGUGCAACUAGUAAAACAGCAAUCACUACAGCUCAGUGAGACUGCCUCGGACUCACCCUGCGCACUAAGCAGGGCCUUUCAAAAACUUCUAUGAAGUGAAAAAAAAUAAAAUCAUGAAAA